CCUGCCAGUUAUUUUAACCUAUUAUCUACGUUUACACUAUACAGGCUAUUUAUAGAUAACAUUAUCAUUGUCCACUUAACAUGUUAGUCAUGUGUGCCAACAGCAAAUAUCUACACUCAUUUAUAUCUCCAGGAUUUAUCAUUCAAUUUUAUAUUUUAUCACAAAAAAGUAAAUGAAUGAACAACUUGUCAGUAAAUUAAUUAUUAAA
rnacentral:lncRNA from 1 species